UACAGAGGAUGCAAGCGUUGUCCGGAAUCAUUGGGCGUAAAGCGCGUGUAGGCGGCUCGAUAAGUCUGCUGUGAAAGUUCAGGGCUCAACCCUGAAAUGCCGGUGGAAACUGUCGAGCUAGAGUCCGGAAGAGGCGAGUGGAAUUCCUGGUGUAGCGGUGAAAUGCGCAGAUAUCAGGAGGAACACCAAUGGCGAAGGCAGCUCGCUGGGACGGUACUGACGCUGAGACGCGAAAGCGUGGGGAGCAAACAGG
rnacentral:rRNA from 1 species